rnacentral:rRNA from 1 species
CCUACGGGAGGCAGCAGUGGGGGAUAUUGCACAAUGGGGGGAACCCUGAUGCAGCGACGCCGCGUGGGUGAAGAAGCGCCUCGGCGCGUAAAGCCCUGUCAGCAGGGAAGAAAAUGACGGUACCUGAAGAAGAAGCACCGGCUAACUACGUGCCAGCAGCCGCGGUAAUACGUAGGGGGCAAGCGUUAUCCGGAUUUACUGGGUGGUAAGGGGGGGCAGACGGCGAUGCAAGCCAGGAGAGAAAGCCCGGGGCCCAACCCCGGUACUGCUCUUGGAACUGCGUGGCUGGAGUGCAGGAGGGGCAGGCGGAAUGCUGGGUGUAGCGGUGAAAUGCGUAGAUAUCAGGAGGAACACCGGUGGCGGAGGCGGCCUGCUGGACUGCAACUGACGUUGAGGCCCGAAAGCGUGGGGAGCAAACAGGAUUAGAUACCCGUGUAGUC